CACGAAUUCGCGUGAGCUAACUUUCUUAUAAUGUAUGUAGCAUAAUAUCUAAUUUAAAGUGAGUUAGGGGUGAUAGGCUUCUCAAAAGCGAAGAUAUCUUGAAGUAAGCAAAAAAAAUUGAGUUUUAAAAUAAUUACAAAGUUAUAAGAUUUUGUAAAGGAUUUAAUUUGUGAUAUUGUAUUAUAUUGGUAUAAAAACCUAUAAAAAUUAUUUAAUUAGUAUUAAGCUAAAGGAUUUUUAUUUAUUUAGUUUACGGUAAUAUAACUUUAAAAAAAUCAUUAUGUUAAUAUGAGUACUAAUAAGAUAUUAAUAGUGAACUCGGCAAUAAAGCUUUCAACUGUUUAUCAAAAACAUAGUCACAUGACUCACAUGUGGUGUGUUCUGCUCAAUGAUAUUUAAAUAGCCGCAGUACCCUGACUGUGCAAAGGUAGCGUAAUCAUUUGUCUUUUAAUUGAAGUCGUGUAUGAAUGAAUUCAUGGAGGCUUACUUUACCAUUAAUAUAUUUUGAAGUUACUUAAGAGGUGAAAAUGCCUCUAUUUAAAUAAUAGACGAGAAGACCCUUGAAAUUUUUAUACACAUUUUGUUGGGGCAACAUAGUAGGUAAACCUACAUAAUGUAUAUGCAAUUAUUUUGUAUGAUUAAAUUACUCUAGGGAUAACAGCAUAAUUCUAAGUGAGUUUGUGACCUCGAUGUUGGAUUAGGGAACUAUAACUUAAAA
rnacentral:rRNA from 1 species